UUAUGCGUUGUUGGGUAGGGGAGCGUUCUGUAAGCCUGCGAAGGUGGCCUGUGAGGGUUGCUGGAGGUAUCAGAAGUGCGAAUGCUGACAUAAGUAACGAUAAAGCGGGUGAAAAGCCCGCUCGCCGGAAGACCAAGGGUUCCUGUCCAACGUUAAUCGGGGCAGGGUGAGUCGACCCCUAAGGCGAGGCCGAAAGGCGUAGUCGAUGGGAAACGGGUUAAUAUUCCCGUACUUGGUGUUACUGCGAAGGGGGGACGGAGAAGGCUAUGUUGGCCGGGCGACGGUUGUCCCGGUUUAAGCGUGUAGGCUGGUUUUCCAGGCAAAUCCGGAAAAUCAAGGCUGAGGCGUGAUGACGAGGCACUACGGUGCUGAAGCAACAAAUGCCCUGCUUCCAGGAAAAGCCUCUAAGCAUCAGGUAACAUCAAAUCGUACCCCAAACCGACACAGGUGGUCAGGUAGAGAAUACCAAGGCGCUUGAGAGAACUCGGGUGAAGGAACUAGGCAAAAUGGUGCCGUAACUUCGGGAGAAGGCACGCUGACACGUAGGUGAAGUGAUUUACUCAUGGAGCUGAAGUCAGUCGAAGAUACCAGCUGGCUGCAACUGUUUAUUAAAAACACAGCACUGUGCAAACACGAAAGUGGACGUAUACGGUGUGACGCCUGCCCGGUGCCGGAAGGUUAAUUGAUGGGGUCAGCGCAAGCGAAGCUCCUGAUCGAAGCCCCGGUAAACGGCGGCCGUAACUAUAACGGUCCUAAGGUAGCGAAAUUCCUUGUCGGGUAAGUUCCGACCUGCACGAAUGGCGUAAUGAUGGCCAGGCUGUCUCCACCCGAGACUCAGUGAAAUUGAACUCGCUGUGAAGAUGCAGUGUACCCGCGGCAAGACGGAAAGACCCCGUGAACCUUUACUAUAGCUUGACACUGAACAUUGAGCCUUGAUGUGUAGGAUAGGUGGGAGGCUUUGAAGUGUGGACGCCAGUCUGCAUGGAGCCGACCUUGAAAUACCACCCUUUAAUGUUUGAUGUUCUAACGUGGACCCGUUACCCGGGUUGCGGACAGUGUCUGGUGGGUAGUUUGACUGGGGCGGUCUCCUCCUAAAGAGUAACGGAGGAGCACGAAGGUUGGCUAAUCCUGGUCGGACAUCAGGAGGUUAGUGCAAUGGCAUAAGCCAGCUUGACUGCGAGCGUGACGGCGCGAGCAGGUGCGAAAGCAGGUCAUAGUGAUCCGGUGGUUCUGAAUGGAAGGGCCAUCGCUCAACGGAUAAAAGGUACUCCGGGGAUAACAGGCUGAUACCGCCCAAGAGUUCAUAUCGACGGCGGUGUUUGGCACCUCGAUGUCGGCUCAUCACAUCCUGGGGCUGAAGUAGGUCCCAAGGGUAUGGCUGUUCGCCAUUUAAAGUGGUACGCGAGCUGGGUUUAGAACGUCGUGAGACAGUUCGGUCCCUAUCUGCCGUGGGCGCUGGAGAACUGAGGGGGGCUGCUCCUAGUACGAGAGGACCGGAGUGGACGCAUCACUGGUGUUCGGGUUGUCAUGCCAAUGGCACUGCCCGGUAGCUAAAUGCGGAAGAGAUAAGUGCUGAAAGCAUCUAAGCACGAAACUUGCCCCGA
rnacentral:rRNA from 1 species